AUGCACGCUGGCGGCGUGCUUCACCCCUGCAAGUCGCACGAAGCACUUUAUUUGAUUUCCUUCGGGACUGAUUAUUUUGUGACUGAGUGGCGGACGGGUGAGUAACGCGUGGGUAACCUGCCUUGUACAGGGGGAUAACAGUUGGAAACGGCUGCUAAUACCGCAUAAGCGCACGGCAUCGCAUGAUGCAGUGUGAAAAACUCCGGUGGUAUAAGAUGGACCCGCGUUGGAUUAGCUAGUUGGUGAGGUAACGGCCCACCAAGGCGACGAUCCAUAGCCGACCUGAGAGGGUGACCGGCCACAUUGGGACUGAGACACGGCCCAAACUCCUACGGGAGGCAGCAGUGGGGAAUAUUGCACAAUGGGCGAAAGCCUGAUGCAGCGACGCCGCGUGAGCGAAGAAGUAUUUCGGUAUGUAAAGCUCUAUCAGCAGGGAAGAUAAUGACGGUACCUGACUAAGAAGCACCGGCUAAAUACGUG
rnacentral:rRNA from 1 species